UUUCAUUCUUCUUUUGUUCUGUAUACUUUCCCAUCUGUGACAAAGACUCACAUCUGAAUCUUUCCUCACCUGCCAAUUGGUCAAUCUACAAUCACAAAUCUCCCAUAUUGCUCUCCUCCCUCUUGUAUUCUAUUUUGAAGGAAGUUUCCAACUUUAUUCUUUCCUCCUAUUUUCAGGCUCCUCAUAAUCCCUAUAACAAUUCACCAUUUUGUCCCUAAGGCAUCAAUGAGCUGGCAACGUCAAACCUCCUAUAUUUAUUUAAACACCCUGGAUUAAUUCCAUUUUCCUUACAUUUCUCUCUUCUUCACACACAAUACAACUCAGCAUCUUCAAUAUAACUCCUGUAGACUUCUACUAUACUUUUGAAACACCUAAGACCCCACAUUUAUGUAAGGAUACAGAAAAUUCCCAAGCAAAGGAUGUGGGAAUUAUUCUUUCACAUGGUUAGGUUUAGGUUUUUGCUUUGGUUUUAGAUUAAUUUUGGAAUGUUUCCCAGGGACAUGUGGGGAAAUACAACAGCCAGGCACAUGCUUUUGUAGAAAUGAAAAGUGUUGUUUUCCUGUACAUAUACUUCAAUCUCAACUUAGUUCUUGAUCCUUAGUUGACAUUUUUUGCUAAUAAGGCCUAUUUCACCACUUCUGCUUCUCUAAGAGACUUGAAUUACCUCCUUUUGCUACCAUUACUCACUUCUGGGGAUGUAAUAGGACUGACCUGGAAGAUAACUUAUGGAAAAGAAUUGUUCUAGUUCAGAGGUGUGAGAGGUGCAGAGUACAUGAAAGUCUGAUUGAUAGCAUUAAAAUGAUACAAUUUGGCUGCCAGAUUUCAUUUACCUUAAAGAUAUCCCUUGGUUACUCAUAAAAUUUAAAUCACCAGAAAGCUAGGUGAUACCUGAAAUCAGGAAGACUCAUCUUACUGAAUUCAAAUCUGGCCUCAGACACUAGCUAUGUGUAAAUCUAUUUGCUUCAGUUUCCUCUUCUUUAAAAUGACUGGAAAAGGAAAUAGCAAACCACUCCAGCAUCUUUGACAAGAAAACUCCAAAUGGGGUUACAAAGAGUCAUAUAGACCAAACAAGAAAGCUAUUUUCUUUCUUUUUAAAAAAAAAAUUCUUUUUUAUUGUGAAUUCAAUAGUCAUCAACAAUCAUAAACAUUUCAAGAAACAAUACAAAAGAGGCUUAUAAAUAAAAAUAAACCCAACUAUAAACUUCCUCAACAUUUUUUUAAAAAAGAAAUAUAUGUGUGUAUAUAUUAGUUUAACAAAGUGGUUUCAAAGUGUUGUUAUGCACUCUUUAGCACAUUUCUUCUAUGUACCUUGUAAAAUAUAUACACACGUAUGGUUUUGUGUGUGUGUGCGCACGUGUGCAUCUAUCACUACCCAUCAAUCCAACUCUCUCCUCACCUUUUAAUAGAAAAUUUUUCUUACAACAAACAUAAGAAGUCAAGAAAAACAAAUAUACCCAUUGGCCAUGUCUGAGAAUGCAUUUCUGAUAUCACCUCUUUCCAAGAGGCAUAAGACAGGCUUCAGCAACAGCAACUCUGGAGAGUGUUUGGGCUAGAGUUCUGAAGUCUUUUAGUUAUUUCUUAAAAAACUCUUUUUUCAGAGAAAAUCUAAGUGUUGAAAAUCAUAGGAUCAUAGCUCUAGUUUCCCUCCCUAAUUUUGUAAAUGAGAAAACUGAGAUUCAGAGAGAUUGAGACUUAUACAAGUCAGCCAUGUAGUAACUAGUAGAACUGUGAUUCAAACUCAACUAAGUCCAAUGCUUUUUCACAUGUUUGUAUUUAUGUAUGUACAUUAUACAUAUAUGUGUGUACAUACACACACAUAUUUUAAAUUUUCAUAUAUAUUUUACAUUUUCCCCUUCUCCCCUGCCCAUUGAAGAGGCAAAAAAAUCAUAUUAGACAUGUAUAAUCAUGUAAGACAAAUUUGCAUAUUUGCUAUGAUUUAUAUAAUAUAAUGUUUUUCCCACUGUAACAUAUUUCUCUCCCAGGCCAAUGCUCAGGAGGAAAAAAGUGUUUUUCAGGUUUAAAGAGUUGUCAGCUAUGUCCUUAAACAGUAAAUCUGAAUUAGGAUAUAAAUCUAGGUUUAAAAUUUUCUGAUAUUGUAAUUCUGAGCUUUAUUGGCAUACUUAUUACCAGUGGCCUUUCCAUCAGACAAAGUCUGAACUGUCCCAAGCAAACCUAGUUCUACGAUUCUGAUGAUAAAAGAAUCAUGAUAGAUCAGGCUCAUCUAACCUUAUUUCAAAAUGCCCUAAUUAUAAAAUUUAGAACCAAGGAAUUUUUAGACAGAUGCUAUUUAGAAUAGAUUAACUGUCCUAUUCCUUUCUAUAACCAGGCCCCAAUAUUCAGAGAUAAUAAGCAUUCUAGAUGAUAUGUUACAAAUUUGGGUAGAACAAAGUAUUUUCUUUCCUUCUGGGGGGAAAAAAUAGAGAAGAGCUAAUUGCAAAUAAAAUUAUCUUCCCGAUCUCCUCCUCUCUCCCUGGCCAGUGAAGGGAAAGCUCUAAAAUACAAAUUCAUUUGGCAUCUUAGAGCUACAUGAUAAAUUAAAAUAAUUAUAUAGUGUCAAAUGAUCUAAUUUUCAGAAAAAAAAAUCAUUCAAUUUAAACUUCCAUUUUUUUCAGUUGACUUUGCAAUUAACCUCGUUAUUGCUUCAAUCACUUAUACUUACACCAACUAAGGAACAGUUCAACCUUAAGAGAAGCUUUUAGAUCACAGUAAGUAUUUUGUUAAAAAACUGAACUUGAAAUUUUAUACCAUGUGCUAAAAAUUUUGUGCAACAAUUUCUUUUGCUAAUGGAAAUAACUGAAUAAUUUUUUAAAAGAUUCAAACAAAACUGUAAAUAAAACUUGCUUACUUAAAAUCUACUCUAAAAUGUCAUUAUGUAAUGUUUUUGAAGUUAAAAGAAUAUUUAAACAAAAUGAAGAAUGAAGCUUGUUUCUUCCACUUAAAGUCUCUAAAAAUCUUGCAUCUCGAAGUGGGGGGGGGGGGGGGAGGAAAGUAGACAUUUUUCUCUGUUCCAAUUUGCAUUUGGAAACUAUGAGCCUAGAUGAAAUGAUCAUAUUUAGGAACAAAGGGCCAGGGAGACAUCUAGUGGUUGGACCAAGGGAUUAGAAAUCCAGCUGAUUUGGGUUCCAUUUCUCUUAUGGCUUUUGUUGCAUAUCUGAGAGCAAUUAACUUAUCUCUUUGUCCUCCUUUGUAAAGUGAAAAACCUAGGGAUCUCAGAGGCUAUCUAGUCCAAAACCCUCAUUUUAUGAGGAAAUUGAAGGACAGAGAGGGUAAAUGACCUACCUGCCCGAGAACUCAAAACUAGUAACAUGAGCAGGAUUUAGAACUUGCCUGAGCUUUAGGUUAUUGCAGGACAUUUAUCAGCUCUCAGCCUGGGGUUGUUGGUUCAGCAUGAGAGAUCUGGUGUAAAUAGCCAAGUCUCAUAAUGCUGCUUCAAGCUAUCAAGAUAUUCAAUAAUGUGUAAAUACUUAAUAAAUAUUUUUUAUAUUAGUGAACCUAUACUGGAUUACUGCCUGGUCAUGACAAAGGAAAAUGGCCCAAUGAAACCAUAAGUUCUUCUGUGUGGGUUUAUCCCAAGUGGACAAAUUAUAGUGGAGAGAAUCCCUUAAAAGAAAUGGAGUAGUCUUCAUUGUCAAUAAAAGAAUGAAAAUGCAAACCUGGGAAAUAAUCUCCAAAAAUGACAGAAUGCUAUAUAUUCAAAUCCAAGACAAAGCAUUCAAUCU
rnacentral:lncRNA from 1 species